rnacentral:rRNA from 1 species
CCUACGGGUGGCAGCAGUGGGGAAUAUUGCACAAUGGGGGAAACCCUGAUGCAGCGACGCCGCGUGAGUGAAGAAGUAAUUCGUUAUGUAAAGCUCUAUCAGCAGGGAAGAAAAUGACGGUACCUGAGUAAUAAGCCCCGGCUAACUACGUGCCAGCAGCCGCGGUAAUACGAAGGGGGCAAGCGUUAUCCGGAUUUACUGGGUGGAAAGGUAGCGUAGACGGGAGUGCAAGUCUGGGGCGUAAGGUGUGGGCUCAACCCCCGGACUGCUCUGGAAACUGUACGGCUGGAGUGCAAGAGAGGGAAGUGGAAUUCCAAGUGUAGCGGUGAAAUGCGUAGAUAUUAGGAAGAACACCAGAGGCGAAGGCGGCUUACUGGACUGUAACUGACGUUGAGGGUCGAAAGCGUGGGGAGCAAACAGGAUUAGAUACCCUGGUAGUC